UACGUAGGGGGCUAGCGUUGUCCGGAAUCAUUGGGCGUAAAGCGCGUGUAGGCGGUUCGGUAAGUCUGCUGUGAAAGUCGGGGGCUCAACCCUCGAAUGCCGGUGGAUACUGGCGGACUAGAGUGCGGAAGAGGCGAGUGGAAUUCCUGGUGUAGCGGUGAAGUGCGCAGAUAUCAGGAGGAACACCAAUUGCGAAGGCAGCUCGCUGGGACGUUACUGACGCUGAGACGCGAAAGCGUGGGGAGCAAACAGG
rnacentral:rRNA from 1 species